UACGGAGGGUGCGAGCGUUAAUCGGAAUUACUGGGCGUAAAGCGCACGCAGGCGGUCUGUUAAGCAAGAUGUGAAAGCCCCGGGCUCAACCUGGGAACUGCAUUUUGAACUGGCAGGCUAGAGUCUUGGAGAGGGGAGUGGAAUUCCAGGUGUAGCGGUGAAAUGCGUAGAGAUCUGGAGGAACAUCAGUGGCAGAAAGGCGGCUCCCUGGCCAAAAGACCUGGACCAGCUCAUGAUGCGAAAGUGUGGGUAGCGAAAAGAGGUUGAGAUACCCCGGUAAGUCC
rnacentral:rRNA from 1 species